CGGCACUGCAGGUGUUUUGGACUACACCUCCCAUGAUGUUUUGCCAGCCUUAUAGCUGUAAUAGCAUUGUGGGAGAUGUAGUCCACAACAUCUGCAGUGCCG
rnacentral:miRNA from 1 species